CGGAGGGAUCAUUACUGAGUUUACGCUCUAUAACCCUUUGUGAACAUACCUAUAACUGUUGCUUCGGCGGGUAGGGUCUCCGCGACCCUCCCGGCCUCCCGCCUCCGGGCGGGUCGGCGCCCGCCGGAGGAUAACCAAACUCUGAUUUAACGACGUUUCUUCUGAGUGGUACAAGCAAAUAAUCAAAACUUUUAACAACGGAUCUCUUGGUUCUGGCAUCGAUGAAGAACGCAGCGAAAUGCGAUAAGUAAUGUGAAUUGCAGAAUUCAGUGAAUCAUCGAAUCUUUGAACGCACAUUGCGCCCGCCAGCAUUCUGGCGGGCAUGCCUGUUCGAGCGUCAUUUCAACCCUCAAGCUCUGCUUGGUGUUGGGGCCCUACAGCUGAUGUAGGCCCUCAAAGGUAGUGGCGGACCCUCCCGGAGCCUCCUUUGCGUAGUAACUUUACGUCUCGCACUGGGAUCCGGAGGGACUCUUGCCGUAAAACCCCCCAAUUUUCCAAAGGUUGACCUCGGAUCAGGUAGGAAUACCCGCUGAACUUAAGCAUAUCAAU
rnacentral:rRNA from 1 species